AUACGGAGGGUGCAAGCGUUACUCGGAAUCACUGGGCGUAAAGCGCGCGCAGGCGGUCUUUUAAGUUGGAUGUGAAAGCCUACGGCUCAACCGUAGAACUGCAUCCAAAACUAUUAGACUAGAGUGUGGGAGAGGAAGAUGGAAUUAGUUGUGUAGGGGUAAAAUCCGUAGAGAUAACUAGGAAUACCAAAAGCGAAGACAAUCUUCUGGAACACUACUGACGCUGAGGCGCGAAAGCGUGGGGAGCAAACAGGAUUAGAAACCCUAGUAGUCC
rnacentral:rRNA from 1 species